rnacentral:rRNA from 1 species
AAUAGAUACCCGGGUAGUCCACGCCGUAAACGAUGUCGACUUGGAGGUUGUUCCCUUGAGGAGUGGCUUCCGGAGCUAACGCGUUAAGUCGACCGCCUGGGGAGUACGGCCGCAAGGUUAAAACUCAAAUGAAUUGACGGGGGCCCGCACAAGCGGUGGAGCAUGUGGUUUAAUUCGAUGCAACGCGAAGAACCUUACCUACUCUUGACAUCCAGAGAACUUAGCAGAGAUGCUUUGGUGCCUUCGGGAACUCUGAGACAGGUGCUGCAUGGCUGUCGUCAGCUCGUGUUGUGAAAUGUUGGGUUAAGUCCCGCAACGAGCGCAACCCUUAUCCUUUGUUGCCAGCGGUUUCGGCCGGGAACUCAAAGGAGACUGCCAGUGAUAAACUGGAGGAAGGUGGGGAUGACGUCAAGUCAUCAUGGCCCUUACGAGUAGGGCUACACACGUGCUACAAUGGCGUAUACAAAGAGAAGCGACCUCGCGAGAGCAAGCGGACCUCAUAAAGUACGUCGUAGUCCGGAUUGGAGU